rnacentral:rRNA from 1 species
GACGAACGCUGGCGGCGUGCUUAACACAUGCAAGUCGAACGGAAAGGCCCUGCUUUUGUGGGGUAUUCGAGUUACUAGCGUGUGAGUAAGACGUGUGUAACCUGCCCUUUCCUUUGGGAUAACUUCAAUAAACUGGGGCUAAUACCUGUUAUUAGCGCCUGCAGCACGGUGUGGGUUGUAUAGUUUCGGCGGUUGGUGCUGGACUCGGGGCUUAUCAGCUUGUGGGUGGGGUAGUGGCUUAGCAAGGCUUUGACGGGUAGCCGGCCUGAGAGGGUGACCGGCCACAUUGGGCCUGAGAUACGGGCAAGACUCAUACGGGAGGCAGCAGCGAGGAACAGUGCACAAAGGGCGGAAGGCUGAUGCAGCAACGCCGGGUUCGGGAUGACGGCCUUCGGGUUGUAAACCGCUUUCGCCUGGGAUGGAGCGGGAGUGACGGUAAUGGGAAAAGAAGCACCGGCUAACUACGUG